GGACGGGUGAGUAACGCGUGGGUAACCUGCCUUGUGCAAAGGGAUAGCCACUGGAAACGGUGAUUAAUACCUUAUAAUACUAUUUUAUCGCAUGAUUAAAUAGUCAAAGCUCCGGCGGCACAAGAUGGACCCGCGUUUGAUUAGCUAGUUGGUAGGGUAACGGCCUACCAAGGCGACGAUCAAUAGCCGACCUGAGAGGGUGAUCGGCCACACUGGAACUGAGACACGGUCCAGACUCC
rnacentral:rRNA from 1 species